AUCACUUCUUGGCCUUUUGGCUAAGAUCAAAUGUAGUAUCUGGUCUUAUCAGUUUAGAUAUGACACCAAAAGCCAACAACAAACAAAAUGAAACAGAAAACUGAAAAUUUUGUGCUUCAGAGAUCAUCAAGAAAGUGAAAAGACAAGCCACA
rnacentral:snRNA from 1 species